UCAGCCUCCCAAAGUGCUGGGAUUACAGGCAUGAGCCACUGUGCCAGGCCAAUUCAUUCAUAUUUUCAUGUGAUUACAAUUUUUGGUUCCUUGCUCAACCUUGUGACUGUGGGGACCUAGAUAAAAAGGAACCUUUGUAAUGCAACCACAUAUUUCCUUUCUCCUGGCCCUGAACAUGGCUAGCCUUAAUUUUCUAGAGGCUCUCUGAAAAGUAAGCCAAUCAGCAGUUGUCAGCAUUUGGGGGAGUCCUGAAAACAUGAAUAUUUAUUAGUAAAGGUAUUGAAAGGUUAUGUCCACUAAUCAGCAUCCCACUCCAAUAUAGGUAGGUAAAAUCAGUUCAUACCUUCCCCAUGUCCAUUAUUCUCACCAUCACAGAAACCUAGCGGGAAAGGAAAAAGAAAAAAAGAAAACACUUUUAUGUGGUACUUUCAUUUUCAUGAAUUUAUGAAUCAGUAACUCUUUAUGAUUUGAAAUAGAAUUUUGAAAAUUCUAAGGCACUUUUGAUACACUGAUUUUCAUUUAAGGUGCUUUAUCAUUUAUACUAAAAAUAGGUAUAGCUAAUUUGAAACUAAAUUUGGUUCCUUUUUCUUUUCCUUUAAAAUUGUCUGUCUGAAAUUUUCUUACUGUCACUGUCCUGAGAGGAGAACAAUUUUUACAAAGCCUGAGAAUCUCUAUUCAAACCACAAAGUAAAGAAGUAUAGAUGGAAAUUCUCUUCCAAAUGCUUCAUCAUGGGGUUAAGAGCAGCACGGCGGGCUUCCCCAGCGGCCACGUGAGGUGUGAUGCCCCCACCGCUGAGCGCAGGCACAGACCACCCAGCUGCCUUGGAGGGAUUUGUAAAAGGUGAACAUUGUCACUAUUUUCAAUACUUUUUUUGUGUUUCUUUUCAAAAAGAUAUAAUUUAUGUUAACAUGUAAUGGGCUUAUUAUUUUUUUAAUUCACUAGUAUCUUUAAAAAAUCUCUCAGUUUAAUUUCUAAUAUCAAUAGAUAUUCUCACAUAAACAAAUACUCUUUGAGGGCCUCAAUAUUUUUUUUAUUUUAUUUUAUUAUUUUUUUCUGAGACAGAGUCUCGCUCUGUUGCCCAGGCUGGAGUGCAGUGGUGUGAUCUCGGCUCACUGCAACAUCUGCCUCCCGUGUUCAAGAAAUUCUUCUCCCUCAGCCUCCCGUGUAGCUGGGAUUAUAGACGUGCGUCACCAUGCCCAGCUAACUUUUGUAUUUUUAGUAGAGACGGGGUUUCACCAUGUUGGCCAGGCUGGUCUCGAACUCCCGACCUCGGGUGAUCCACCUGCCUCAGCCUCCCAAAGUGCUGGGAUUACAGGCAUGAGCCACUGUGCCUGGCCUAUUUUAUUUUAUUUUACUAGUGUUACUUUUUGAGAUGGAAUUUCACUCUUGUCGCCCAGGCUGCAGUACAGUGGUGUUCACUGCAACCUCUGCCUCCCGGGUUCAAGCGACUCUCUCGCCUCAGCCUCUCAAGUAGCUGGGAUUACAGGAACCCGCUACCAUGCCUGGCUAAUUUCUGUAUUUUUAGUAGAGACGGUGUUUCACCAUGUUGGCCAGGCUGGUCUUGAACUCCUGACCUCAGGUGAUUCGCCCGCCUUGGCCUCCCAAAAUGCUGGGAUGACAGGCAUGAGCCACUGCGCCAGGCCUCCAUGUUUUUUAAGGCUGUAAAGUAGUCCUAAAAGAAAAUGUGGGAGCCACUAAUGUAUAGCAAAUUUCUGAAAUUCUCCCAGAUAGCUUCAAUGUCUACACAGCUUUGGUUGCAAGAGAUGAUUAUCUAUUUAUCUCAUCAUAAGGUCAAACUGUCGGCCAUAGAAAGGACUUUACGGUAAGCAACUUCAUUAGCCUACAGUGCUUCUUUGUGGUUCAUUCCAGUGACAGCCUCAGGUGGCUAUGAAGCCACGUGGCUUCAGAGGAGGGAAGAGGCAGACAAGGGCAGAACCCACAGUGCAACAGAAAGAGCGUGGCCGCUGAGAUCAGAGAGACCUGGGUUCAGAUUCCAGCCUCUUUUUACAGAUUCAAAGAGACUCAAGAGAAUAUCAAACGAAUGCAGAGCCAACUGGGAAAAUCUAAAUACCGACCAGGCAUUGAAUUAUAUUAAGGAGUUAUUUUUAAUUUUGUUAAGUGUAAUAGCGGCAUUGUGGUUAUGUUUUUUAAAAAAGGUUCUCGUCGGCCUUAAACUGCUGGAGACAUUUCAAGGUACAAUACUAUACUAGCCAGUCACGGGACUGAGGUGGGAGGUAGGUUUGGAGAGACUGGCAGAAUGCUGAUAAUGAGUGAAGCUGAGGAUGGGCACCACAGGCCUUUUAUAACUCUUCUGUUUGAGUAUAUUUAAAAUUUUGCACCAUUCAUCGGGUUUCUUUUUUAUUUUGAGACAGCGUCUCUCUCUUGCCCAGGCUGGAAUGCAAUGGCGCAAACAUGGCUCACUGCAGCCUCAACCUCCUUGGGCUUAGGUGAUCCUCCCCACCUCAGCCUCCUGAGUAGCUCGAACCACAGGCACGUGCCACCACGCCUUUUUUUUUUUCAUAGAGACAGGGUCUCACCAUCUUGCCCAGGCUGGCCUCAAACUGCUGGACUCACACGAUCCUCUGGCCUCAGCCUCCCAAAGUGUUGGGACUAUAGGCGUGAGCCACCAUGCUCAGCUGCAUUUUUUCAAAUCCUAGUCCUUCACCUAUUAGCUAAGGCCCUUAAACAAGUCACUUAACCUUUUAGAAUGGAAAAUAAUACUCAUUCUUGUAGGGUGUUGUCAGGAUUGAAAAAAAAUGGCUGAGGUAGAACUCUUACUCCUGGAGUCUGGCCCAAAGUGAUCAUGAUAAUAGCUGAUGUUUAUUCAGCACAUAUGCUUCCCAGGUAUUAUCUUAUUCAACCCUCACAACCAACCCAUGAUCUAGGUAGCAUUAUCUCCAUUUUUCAAAUGAGUAAACUGAGGCAAUCAGAAGUUUAAAAAUCUACUCAAGGUCAUACAGCAAGAUGCAAACCCUGGGAGUCUCAUCCCAGACCUCGUGUGCUCUAUACUUUCCCCUGUAGACACUCAAAAAAUGGUGGGUUUUGUUUUGAACAUGUCAUAUCAACACAGCUUACAUAAACACACUCUGGCAACUGGAUGCUAUGUAAAAAAUAUCAGGACAGUUAAAUUGCUUUAAAAUCUACUCCUACCAGGAAACAACCCAUGUACCUGUUAAGUGCAGAUGUCAGCCUGAACCCAGGAUGCUUUUCGUCUUUCCAAGGAGGCUGCUGCCUUUAAAAACCAGAACAACAUAAAAGGAAAAGAAGUCAAUCCACAGACAGCAAAGGAGGGCCUCAGCACUUGCAUUUGAGAACUGGCUCUUCUACUCACCUCGCUCUGCAAGAGUUACUUAAAAAUACCCCACACCUCGCUCAUUUUGCUCAUCAUUGUUAAAAUGAGGUAAGACUCCAUGAUCCUUCCAGUCCUGUGAUCUCUGAUUUCCAGUAUAAAAACUACUACAAACCCAUAAGGCACAGGAUUAGCUAGCUGGGCAGAUGAGGAGUUCAGUGUGCAUGUAGGGGGCGCCGUGGCAAUCUUGGAUGCAAAAAUUUUGCAUUCCCCUACCAAUGGCCAUGAAGAGGAAUAGAAUUGUUACAGUUGCCCAGGGUAUGAAAAUAUUAAGUCUAACCAGUCCUGGUGCUCUGAAAAGCAGAAGACAUUUCUUGGAUACAUAAAAGAAAAAUAACAGUUUGGAGAUGACUUUUACUGAUGUAAUAAAAUAUUGUAUUUAUUCUACAACCCUGGAUCCCAAGAUUCUUGAGGGCAGCUGAAAACCUACCUGAGGUGGGGACCCACUGUUACCCAUCUUUAUUUCCUUUCCCAGAUCCAGACUACAUUAUACACAGUAAGUUCUCAGUCAGUAUUUGCCCAGAGAAUGGAUGGAGAGUAGACUUCAAUCCGGAGAGCUAAAUAUUUUUGAUACACACAUUUUAAAUGUGUCCUAAAUCUGACUUGGUGAUCUGAAAAUGAUACUAGGCACACAACAGAUGCAGCAGGGGCUUUUUCUCAGUUAAUUCUAUUUCCUGUUACCCUCUGUAUUGGGUACAAAAAUACUCAAAGAGACCUUAAAUCAAAUACACUGUGCAAAUUACCAUUUUAAGAGUCUUUUGUCCUUUUCAGCAGCUUACUAAGACACUCUGAGAAAAGAUGCUUAUUUUUCUUUCUUUU
rnacentral:lncRNA from 1 species